GGAGAUGGACACCAAGAACCUGCACCAGAUCCUGGGGGAUGGCAUCAGAUUCAUCUCAGAUGUGCUUUUACCUGAGGCCAUCAUCUGUGCCAUUGCUGCUGUGGAUGACAUUGAUUAUGAGAAGGCAGAAGAGAAGUACAUUAAAGGACCACCUGUGAGCAAAAGAGAGAGAGAGUUGUUUGAUGAACAAAUCCUGGGAAGCAAAAAGCUCA